GCCAUGGAGGGGGGUGAGGGGAAGGGCAAGAAGGUGCCCAUAGUGCUUAUAAUGUAGGAAAGGGGGACAGGGACGGGCAGACAGGAAAAGAAGGGAAAAGGCAAGCAGAGAACAAGGUUGUGAAAAGUGCUCUGUAGCCCGGGCGAGAGAGAUGUCGGUGACUCCGAGUAAGGCAUGAUAUCAGCAUUACAGGGAAGGGCUCUGACUCAGUGUGAUCUCAAAGUUGAUAGGAUUGCUCAAAGAUUAAGUAUUCAGACUAAAAGAAAGAGGGAGGGACCAGGAUAAAUUAAAUUAUCAGCUGGUUUACUGAGAAAACUCAGAGAAGAAGACAUUCAGGGAGACACCAAGCCAGGGAGGUGACAAGUAUGUGGUAAAAUCCGAGCACGCAGAAUUUGGGGGAACAGGACUCUAGACUGCCUCUAGAGAGAGCUGUAUUGAAGGCCCUGCGACCCAGCACAGAGAAGGGAAUGGUGCUCUAGGUCCCUGCCUCUGCAGAAGACAAAUCCAGGAAGAGAACCAGGAAACUGCAGAGUAGCCAGCCACAUGCGAGAAAAAUCUGAAGGAGACGAAAAUGUUUCAGGAGAAAGAGGUAUAAUUUGCAGUGAAGUGCACAAAUCAGUGAAAUUUUACGUAUGCAACCUUUAUCACUCACCACCCAAACCAGAGUGGUGUCUUCCCAACACCCCAGGGCCUCUAGUCCUUUUCCAGCGUUGCCUGAAGACACAAACUACUGAUGGCUGCAUCCACAUGACUGACUUCAAACACAGCACGCUGCAGGAGAAAAGCCGGAUACGCGCGUGGAAAGUGGGUGGCUCCACCACCCUGCUGUUCAGGUUUUCUUUCUGAAAGUUCUUUUGGCUUUAUUAUGGAAUAGAGGUUACAGAAAGGCAAAAGCUUUGGCCGUAGCGGGUGGGAAGAUCUUCCUUACCCUGGAGGAGGAAGUAGGGUCUCCGUAAUGUAUGUGUGGUACUCAGGGCUCCCGGCAGCCCGAAGCCAGAGUGUGUCCUCACCCUGCCCCGGGUCAGCCCUGUGACCUGGAGGGAGCAACUGAAAAGCUCUGGGCCUCGGAUUCCUCAUCUGUGAAAUGGGGAUGCUAACAGUGCUACCUCCUCUGGUUGGUUUGUGGCAGAGGACACAUGAGGCAACCUGUGUAAAAUGCUUGGAGGGUGGCCAGUGUGGUUACCAUGGAGAUUGACUGGUACCGUCUUCCACAUCCUGUGUUGACUAAGCGCGCACACCAGAAUACAGUUCCAAACGAUUAUCAAACAUGAAUACAAUUCAGAAAAUAAACAUGCAGCAAAACUUGCCAUAAAGAUUGCAUGAAACUAUCACUUUAAGAAAAAUACAUUAAAAAUUACCUUAAAUACCGAAAAGUACUUUUGUAAGUAAGGAUCAGUCCAAUAAAUUUAACCUGUAUUUGAAUCAGUGUAAAA
rnacentral:lncRNA from 1 species